GGGCAGGCAGGGACCGCCGCUGUUGCGAGGCGCCCCCGCCACGGGAGCGCGUCCGUGAGGGGCGGCUGAGGGAGCCGCGGGGCUCGGGCCUUAUCGUUCUCUACAGCUGCCUGAGGGGAGCGAGUAGCCAGGAUAGGGCAAGAGGAAACGGCCUCAAGUUGCACCAGGGGAGGUUUAGGUCGUACGCUAGGAAAAAAUAUUCUUCCCUGGAAGGAUGGUGGAGCACGGGAACGGGCUGCCCGGGGAGGCGGUGGAGUCAUCGUCCCUGGAAAUGUUCAAAGGGCGUGUGGAUGUAGCACUUGAGGACAGGUUUUAGUGGUGAACGCGGUGGUGGGGCUGGGCCGGUGGUUGGGCUGGAUGAUCUUCAAGGACUUUUCUAGCCUUAACGAUUCUGUGAUUCUGUGAAUAAUGAGCUUCUGCUGGCUUUCUGCGAAAAGCGGCUUUGAAUAGGAUGCUGGAUUCUGUUCAGAGCUAAUAAGCUUACAGAUGCAUCUUAAUAACAAGAGUCAUGUCUUAAAUUUUCUCUCAUUUUCUUGGUAUGUGGCAGAAAGCUGCUGUUACCUUGGAACUCAUUCUGCUGACAUACUUUUGUACUCUUUUUAAUGAGAUCUUGUAAUUGCUUCCAUAUAUUUCUUUAAAAAUAGCUUCUAACAAAAUCAUAAGGAGAGGAAAUCCUGGAAAGAACUCAGCCUCCUGCAGGGUACAUGAAGAGCAUUUCAUAGAGGACUUACUAUCUUGCAUUUCUCUGCCUCCUGUUUCUUGUCAGUGGAAGACCAUUUCCCUAAUUUAAGGGAGAAUCCCUGCAAAUGGUUAGCCUGCCCAAAAGCCCUUGUAGCUACUCACUGACUUUGACCUGAUUCUUGUAAUUUUGUUGUUAUCACUCUGUAGUCAGUAGCAACAGAGAAAUUGACUUUAAUAGGAGUAAUUUUUUAAGGGAGAGCAUUUUAAGAUUCCAUUUUCAAUGCCUAUUUUAAAGAACAUACAUCUCCAUUUAAAAGAAGUAUGUUUCAAAAAAAAAAAAGUUUUAAAAAUUUCCUGGAGCACAGAGUUUUCAUAGUAAUUCUAAAGCCCCCUCUCCCGCUUUCAUGAAUAGUACAACUUUUCUCACAGACUGGAAUUCAUUUCUGCACAGAAGCUUUUUUAAGGAAUUAAAUGGGGUUUAUGAGAGCCUUAAUCCUGAUUCUGGCUCUUUGUGUGGUGUUGGAUUUCAUAGAGUGGAUUUCAGACAAAAGAGACUAACAGAGUUAACAUUUAAUCUCUUUUUGAAACACUGAGAACUUUCUGGUCUUGUUAGAUUCUGAAGUGAUGUUUCAUAUACAAAAGUUUUUUGUGUGUCUUGUAGGCUGGAUCACGAUUACUAGAUGACUUGCAUGAUGUUGUCAGCAGUGCCUUUGGGAGCUCUCAUCCCUGCUAUUUAAAAGAUCUAGUAGUUGAUAAAAUGUGUAGUUUACCUUGCCCUUUGUAUUAAUAGGUUAAAUUCUUUUAUCUUCAGUGCCUGAAGCAUAUGUAGUCUAAUAGAAGGGUACGAGGCUGCAUGUAGUUAAGGUUCAUUAUCAUUAUUUGAAGAUCAUCUCUCUUUUGAUCCAGUUUCACUCUGGUAAAACUCACUUUAUUCUAUUUUCACUGCAUUAAGAUUUAAGAUUAAGAUACCUUGUUCUUUUGAAGUCACAUAAGGUAUGAAUUGCAACCUUCUGUGUUGAAGUAAGAGACUGGGGAAUAAAUAGGGUUUGAUAUUUAUCUGGUGCUGGUAUAAGGGUGAGGCAUUCCUACUGCUGGAGCAAUCUCUUUGGUUCAUGGAGAAUCUGGGGAGAUUCUGUUUGAAUGAUGUCAACAUUUAGAUAAUGCUGGCUGUAACUUGACCAUGUUGAUGUGCUGAAUUUUGAGCAAGAGCAAACCAAGGCAUAACUUGCUAGCAUCCCCAAGAACUGUGUAGUGAAGCUCAGCAAUUUUGUGCAUUGAGGGGAGGGGUAUUUCAUCCUACUUUCAAAGUUUUCUACCUUCAUUUUAAUACUUCCUGGAGAAUUUACUUCAACUUUUGUGUGGUUUCUUUUCUCUUGGUCAAAAAUCAAACAUAACCUCUUGGCAGCAUUUCUCUAGCUGGAGUACAGUCUUUUGCCAGGAGGAAUGUGAUGAGUCAUGAUGUGUGACUGGAAUAGCUGUGCUGUUAAAAUUGCUGAGAGUGGAUGGAGUUCCACCCACAAAACUGUACUUAGGUUCUUGAAUAUAUUUGAUCUGUGGCAGCAGAAACAAGAGACUCUUAGAAUGAAUUGUAGUGGCAAAAGCAUUCAUCUGCAUGUUAGUGUACGUGCACUAACUUCUUACCAUGGUAUAUACCAGAGUCUCUGUACCUGCAAAGCCUUUCUGGUUUAACUUAGCCUUGAUUUUUUGGCUUGGCUUGAUGAAUAGCUUUCAUGUUUUUGUUGUAUUAUAGAUGCAAAAAGCAAGUAUUUAAAUUAUAAUGAAGAGAACACCUGCCUGGUUAACCCAACCUGCGUGUACUGCAAAGAGGAUACCGAAGUCUACACAAACUGACAUCCCUACAUUUCUUGUUGUGCCAUUUAUUUCUUACUUAAUUGAGGGAAUGAAGGUGACGUAACCCUGUUUGUAAGGAGUUUCAGUUUACGUGUUUUAUCUGUAAAGGUUAGAAAUCUAUUAAAUUAUUUGCAUAACAGCAAAGUCAGAAUAAAGGAUUGUUUCAUCCCAGUGCUCGUGGUGGUUCUCCAAGAUUUACUGUUUUUUGUAAAGCACCUUUCAUGUGAAGGUAUUGUUUCUAUUCAGAUCCUGGCAAAAAGAAGAGGUACACGUAUCAGGACAAUUGCCCACAGAGAGAGUUUGGAGUCCUAACCUGCUCCAACAGAGCCAACAACAGAAGUUCAACUGACUUUAGCCACACAGAUUCAGACCCUGAAAGACCAACACAAGAAAAAAAAAAUGUGUGAAAAGGUACACAAGAGAAAAAGAGAGGGCAGGUCUGCCUGCCUUGAAACAGAUGUAUAUUUUAAAAUGUAAUUUUAAUUAUAGAUUUACACAUUUCAACCAUAUGAAAAAUGUAGAUAACAUGGAGAGUUCUUUCAUUAUUAAAACAAUUAAAGAUGGAUUUUUACAUAUUGAUCUCUGAAAUAAUUUAUUUUUUCUUAUUGUGAAAUUUGCACAUCUGCUGUGGUUCAGUAUUCUCCCAGCCUUCCCUGAUACUCUUUUGUAUCUGCUUACCACUGGCCUGUUGCACUGCAAUACUGGAUUUAGAGGGCUUAUCUUUCAUGGAUAGAAUCUGAGAUUCUUUCAGCAUAAUUGGGGAUAUGUAAACAAAAUAUUAACAACAUGUAUUAUGUAUCCAAAGUACCCAAAAGCAAGCUGUUGACAAGACAGACACAAAUGCUGGUACCUGGUAAGUAAUCAGAUACAAAGUUCCUAAGCACAAAUUCUUUGUAAGUACAAUAAUUUCUUGUUUUCUUAACAAGCUAUGUUCAUCCAAUGUCUUUAGCAUAGGUAUGGUCUUCAGAUGAUGCUGUGGAGCUUUUCCUCACUCUGAUUCUGUAUUUAAAGUUUACCAUCCCCUCUGCUCUGUGCUUGUUCUGUCCCUCCAGAAAUAGCCUUUGUGUUCACAUGAGCCCAGCUUACAUGGUACUGAGGUUGGGAUGUGGUCUUUGGUCAGCUGAACGGAAAAGCCAAAUGACAGAGUGUUAUGCAAACUUCCUGCUUUGAAAUUCUGCCUAGAAAUUGUCAAAACCACAGACAGACAGGUAGAGGCCAGCACAGGAUCUCAGCUGCUGAGGUCAUCCACUUCUUUGGAGAUUCUGUAGAUCAGAAAUAUUCCAGCCUCUACCACCUUUCCCCACGUGUCCAAGCGGUACUUACUGCAGAAUAGCAGCACUUUCAGCAAGGUGAAAUGGGCCUGAAAAAAAGAAAGUUGUUUACUAAGUAAGCAGUCCCAGAUUGAAUUGCCCCUGAACACUGUGAAUGAUGAAAUAAGUUGGUCAUGUAAAGACCUCAAAGACCUGUGCCCUUAGAGGUCUGGGCUAGAUUUUUGUCUUUGAUUUCUUAGGCUAAUGUAGUUUCUCAGUUCCUUUCCCAUGACAUUUCUAUUUCUGAUGUUAUCGAAGCAUAUGUGACAUACUUUCCCAUUCAGAUCUAGGGGUACAUAGUUCAUUAACUGGUGUCAUAUGUUAGCUAUACAACAUGCUUAAGAAUUUUCAUGGCUACUUUUUAAGCACAUGGGGAUUUUAGGGGAGGGGAAGAAAGUUCUUGGUGGGGAGUGUUGGUAAAGUUGCUUUUAUUAGAUAUGGAUGUUAGCCAGUAGCUUGACUUUAAAACUAAUGCUGACUGGGAUUUUCAUUUGGUUAAAGGCUUUUGCAUUCCCUUCUGCAUCUUGAUUUUUGUAUAAUGUGGCUUAUUAAAACAAAAUGAUUAUUACUCUUUAUAUGUUCCAAUAAAAGAUUUAAGCAACUUC